UGCGUAGGCGGCUUUUUAAGUUUGGUGUGAAAUCUCCUGGCUUAACCGGGAGGGUGCGCCGAAUACUGAGAAGCUAGAGUACGGGAGAGGAAAGUGGAAUUCCUGGUGUAGCGGUGAAAUGCGUAGAUAUCAGGAGGAACACCUGUGGUGUAGACGGCUUUCUGGACCGUAACUGACGCUGAGGCACGAAAGCGUGGGUAGCAAACAGGAUUAGAUACCCUGGUAGUCCACGCCCUAAACGAUGCAUAUUUGGUGUGGGCCAUUCAUUUGGUCCGUGCCGGAGCUAACGCGUUAAAUAUGCCGCCUGGGGAGUACAGUCGCAAGGCUGAA
rnacentral:rRNA from 1 species